rnacentral:rRNA from 1 species
GUCCACGCCCUAAACAUUGGAUACUAGGUACUGGGUUAAAUCGACCUUUCCCAGUGCCGUAAGCUAACGCGUUAAGUAUCCCGCCUGAGGACUACGAGCGCAAGCUUAAAACUCAAAGGAAUAGACGGGGACCCACACAAGCGGUGGAGCGUGUGGUUUAAUUCGACGGUAAACGAAGAACCUUACCUAGACUUGACAUCUUGCGAAUGCUCUGGAAACAGAGAGGUGCCCUUCGGGGAGCGCAAUGACAGGUGCUGCAUGGUUGUCGU